rnacentral:antisense_RNA from 1 species
GUAAGGAACCCAGCUUCUGUGUGGUGGGCACUGAGAGCAGAACCGCAUUGAGUCGGAGUGGAGCACAGAAGUGAGUCCCAGGACACCAGAACCAGGACUCCCCGGCGCACCCGGAGAGUUUCCGAGCUCCUUUGAAGUAUGAAUCAGAACUUCUGGAUGGGAAUCCUGGAGCCACCACUUGCCCUAUGGUCGCAAUGGGCAAGUCGCUCAACCUCCCAGAUCCUGUUUUCUCAUGAGUAAAACGGGGAUUAUAAUACCCACCUGACAAUAUUAUUUUUGUGAGAAUUAAAUGAGUUUAGAAUGUAAA